rnacentral:lncRNA from 1 species
GGUGGAGUAAGAAGAGAGGGUAUGAAAUGAAUCUAUCAGAAACCAUGCAAUCUGCCUCUCGCUCUGAGAGUCACACAGUCCUUUCAUAUCUGCCAAAAAUAAAAAAUGUUGCAGUAAACUAUGACGUCAUAUUCUGAUAACCAUAAGGCAUGCUUGGAAGCGUGUGAGAAGCGGAUUUCGAAUUCUUCUCUCUCCGUCUGUCUCUGCCGCCAUAAGAAAAGUCCAAGUUAUUAGGGAGAGUGAGGAAGCGUUUCGCAAUGGCUUGCAUCAUCAGCAGCAAGCAAGUAACCAGAGAAAGAGAAAGAGAGAGAGCUGUCAAUCCGUUUCUGAGAGCAUCGUACAAAUAGUCUGUGGAAGCGAGAGGUCAGAGCCCCAUCAUUGUCUCAAUUAUCGGCCAGCUCUGAGCUCUACCUCCAUUGCUAUUUGCAAAUGCUCUGUUUUUCUUUUUAAUUUUAAUUUUUUAAAAUUUUAAUAGUAUCACAGUCAGUACGUACUGUACAAGCAAACAAUGCUUAAUAUUACUAUAGCAGUUGCGUUGGCUACCCGUUGGUGACACCACCCCUCCCUCCCUUCCUCUCUCUCUCUCUCUCUAUAUGUAUAUAUGUCACGUGUAUUACAGAAGAUGGAAAACGAUCUUUCUUUCUUUCUUUUAACUUUGGUUUUCUAUAAAUUCAAGUGAAUCUCACCUCUGUUUAGAGGAUAAUACCUUUUUUUUUUUCUUUUUUUUUUUUUUUU